UACGGGGGGGGCAAGCGUUGUUCGGAAUUAUUGGGCGUAAAGAGCUCGUAGGCGGUGUGUCACGUCGGCCGUGAAAACCUGCAGCUUAACUGUGGGCGUGCGGUCGAUACGGGCAUCACUGGAGUUCGGCAGGGGAGACUGGAAUUCCUGGUGUAGCGGUGAAAUGCGCAGAUAUCAGGAGGAACACCGGUGGCGAAGGCGGCUCACUGGCUCAUUACUGACGCUCAGGCGCGAUAGCGUGGGGAUCAAACAGG
rnacentral:rRNA from 1 species